GAUGAACGCUGGCGGCGUGCCUAAUACAUGCAAGUCGAACGACAAGACGAGAAGCUUGCUCCUUUGCCGUUAGCGGCGGACGGGCGAGUAACACGUGCAUCACAUACCUAUAUGACUGGGAUAACAUCGGGAAACCACAGCUACUACCGCCUCAUACAUUGAACCGCAUGGUUCAAUGGUGAUUGACACCUUUGCCGACACUUAUAGACGAUUCCGCGCCGCAUUAGCUAGUUGGUAAGGUAACGGCUCACCAAGGCGACGAUGCGUAGCCGACCUGAGAGGAUGAUCGGCCACACUGGAACUGAGACACGGUCCAGACUCCUACGGGAGGCAGCAGUGGGGAAUCUUGCGCAAUGGGCGAAAGCCUGACGGAGCAACGCCGCGUGAGUGAUGAAGGUCUUCGGGUCGUAAAACUCUGUUAUUAGGAAAGAACAGAUGUGUAAGUAACUAUGCACGUCUUGACGGUACCUAAACAGAAAGCCACGGCUAACUUCGUG
rnacentral:rRNA from 1 species